GCGCAGGCGUUUUGUGAAAGCCCUCGGCUCAACCGAGGAAUUGCUGGACGAACCGCGCGUCUUGAGGCAGGUAGGGGCUGUCGGAACGAUAGGUGGAGUGGGUGAAAUGCGUUGAUAUCUAUCGGAACGCCGAAGGAGAAAUCAGGCAGCUGGGCCUGUCCUGACGCUGAGGUACGAAAGCGUGGGUAGCGAACGGGAUUAGAUACCCCGGUAGUCCACGCCGUAAACGAUGUGCACUAGAUCGAGGGGGUUCUGACACCGCUCUUGGUCGAAGCGAAAGUGUUAAGUGCACCGCCUGGGGAGUACGGUCGCAAGGCUAAAACUCAAAGGAAUUGACGGGGGCUCACACAAGCGGUGGAGCAUGUGGCUUAAUUCGAAGCAACGCGAAGAACCUUAUCCUGGGUUUGACAUGCACGGAUUAGCCCGGUGAAAGUCGGGUGACGCUCUUUGAGUGGAACGUGCACAGGUGCUGCAUGGCUGUCGUCAGCUCGUGCUGUGAAGUGUCGGGUUAAGUCCCUUAACGAGCGCAACCCCUGUCGCUAGUUGCCAGCGCGUCAUGGCGGGGACUCUAGCGAGACUGCCGGUGUCAAACCGGAGGAAGGUGGGGAUGACGUCAAGUCCGCAUGGCCUUUAUGCCCAGGGCUGCACACGUGCUACAAUGGUCGGUACAGAACGACGCAAUACCGCAAGGUGGAGCAAAUCGCAAAAGCCGGCCCCAGUUCGGAUUGCAGGCUGCAACUCGCCUGCAUGAAGUUGGAAUCGCUAGUAAUCGCGGAUCAGCAAUGCCGCGGUGAUACGUUCCUGAGCCUUGUACACACCGCCCGUCAAGUCAUGGAAGCUGGCAGCGCCCGAAGUCGCCGCGAUUCAGCGGUGCCCACGGUGAGGCCGGUGACUGGGACUAAGUCG
rnacentral:rRNA from 1 species